GUUUAUUAAACAAUGAGAACGAUAAUCUGGAUGUUUUCAGCGAUUCACAACAUUAAUUCUGCCCUGCACCUUCUACAAACCUACUGUAUUCCGACAGAGAAGACUGUGGCUGCAAAUCAUCGUCUUUUUGAUUACUUUCGCAAUGCAUUCGAUGGCCCCGUUGGCUUUAUUUCUCUCUCAUGCACGGGAGUCAGCGUGAUAAUCUGGUUGCCUGUAACUUCAGUCAAAUUGAAGAUGUUCCAUCAAAGCUGAAAUCCAAUAUGAAGGCCUUUAGAGUUCGCAGACAGGGCUGCAACAUCCUCCUGGUUGUUGUGAUCUACAGUCUCAGCAUCAGUUGAUGUGUCUAAUGAGGUUUGUGAAGUGCUCAGGUGAAUCUGGUACCGUAGGACCCUUCAUCCCUCCCCACUGCAGCCUACCCUGAGUCCAGUGUCAGUGACUGAUAACUGUGGACAGCUCUCAACAGAACAGGAGGUAAUUACAGCAGCCGGAGAGAGAGAGUAGAUAGAGGCAGAAAGGGAAAGUGGAAGUAGGAGUCUUGUGAAAUAUUCUCAUUACAGGUCAUCGCGGUAAUUACCUGACACCUACAGAUGGAGUUGCCUCUUAAUCAAAAGAAUGAAUCAUUACUGAUAUUGAUUCAAACUAAGAUGUUUGAAGUAAUGGCCGCACUAAGUCAGUCCAAGAAAAAAAAAAAAUCUCUGCAAUUUUCAGCAACUUCCCCUAGCCGUCGUUCCUGCUCUAAAUAAUAAUGGAAUGUCUUACUUCAUUCCAGUGUAAUGGCAGGAAAAUGAGCAUGGCAGCUGCGACUAAAUUGCCCCUGUCUAAUCUGCAUAGAUUGCAGGGCAAGAAUAAAGUCAGACAGGAUUUGAUUUCUAAUUUCUGCACUCUCUAUUCAUAACAGCCCAUAAUUCACGUCCUUUUAUGAAUGAAAUGAGCUAGAUUGAAUGCAGUUACGAGCAAAAACAUCAUACUGUUGACUGCCUAAGAUCCAUCAGUGUUUUUUUCCUUGUUUAUACUUCAGUGAUUAGGCCUGGAAUUAAAUUAUAGUGUAUAUUCAAUGACGGCGCCGACACCGAAAAGCUUCCUGCGAACCAAAGUUCAUACAAAUCUAUAUCUUGUUAACUCGCAACUUUUAAUUGAACGCAGCCUGUCAAAAAUCCACAGGUAAUUGGAUGUCACCUUGAUUUUUUUUCUUCCUCUACCUUAACAAGGAAAUGAGAAUUAGCCUGUUUCUUUGUGAGUGGCUGGUGUCAUACAGAUGUAAGACGUUCCCUGUGGUACACGAGGCCGAUCUGUCUCCUCUCAUUGCUUAUUUCCACCUUGAUGUGGAAAAUGACACCUAACAAGGUUAGUUAGUCGGGGGAAAGACCUGUGCCUCUUUAUAGAGCUGGGUUAAUAUUUGAGAAUGUCAUUAGCUGUUGUAUAAUUACGAGAAGCUGAGAAACAUUCACUUGAACUCUUGAAUGCAAAGUUAAUUAGAAAUUACUUUAGAAGGGUCAUGGGGUAAUUAAUUAACAUGCCUUGUGGGAGAAAGCGCUGAGUAUAAUCAGUUGUUUAGCAUGUCAUAAAAAGUAGGAGCCGAUCAAACCUUGUCCAGACUGAGAGGAGUUAUGCAGAUGAGACCUGCGUAUGAUUAUGCUUCACAAACCAUCUACCAUUCACUGGUGGCCGCUCUAUUGAUUACUGUUAAAUAGGCUUGUAAUCACAGCAUUCCCAGGCCAUUUGAUUAGAUGGAUAACCUCUGGAGUGCAAAUGAAGUUUGUGAUGAGAGGCCGUAAUUCGAUGGGUAUAAUCGCAGAGUGAGAAAAAUGCACCUGCACUACCAACAGAUUAUUGUCUCAGAUCUUUGAUUAGAAGAGGACUGCAUACGUCUCAUUAUGCCUUGAUGCACCUAUCUCCUCUAAUCAUGCCUAAAGAAUAAUUUAUAGAAAUGCUAAAACUGGACAUGUGUAGAUAUUAUUGCAAGGUUCCAGAAUCAACAUAAUCCGAAUGAGCUUUGUGCAAGGUUAUCUAGCAAAUAUUUAAUUUAUUAAAAUGUAUUUUGUUGCUGCUGCCAAUGUUUAUAUAUAUAUUUUUAAAUAUAUUUCUGCACAUUUCAGCAAUGUUUUUGUUGAAGCCCUUGACUUUAUUAUAAUAGCGUUUAUUCAUGCAUAACUCACAUUUGUCAGUGUUA